AAAAAAAAAAAAAAAAUCCACGAAUCAAAUGGUGAGAUGAAAUUGAAUAAAAGGAUUAAAAGCAGUAACUACUGAUUAGUGAUUACAAAGCUGAUGCAGAGGAAGCCAUUUCUAUUUAGGCUCAGCAAUAGCAUUCCACAAUAAGAGACAAAAGGGCAGCAGCUGCUUCUUCUACUUACUACUCUCUUUCCGUAUAUUUUGUAUUGUUUUCUAUUAAUAACAACUUCACAUGGAGAAUUAAUGGAGAUGGAGUUAUGGCCAGACUAUCAUCGUCUCCCGUCCGUCACCCCCGCCGCUCUCCUCUGCCAAAGCCAACCCACGCUCCUCCUCCUCCACCCCAUUUAACCCCCACGCGCUUCCCUUCCCACCUUGAAACCACUCGCAAAACCCAUCAAUGCCAUCCGCUUUACCAGCAUUCACAAUCCCACCAAUGUCCACACUAGCCAUGACUGACGACUCCCAGUCAGAGAAUGAAGACCCGCAACUCUCCUCAUUGCCGUUGAUGGUGAUAUAAGAA
rnacentral:misc_RNA from 1 species